CUCGACGCAGGCACAGUUGUUUCCAGUACUUUGAACGAUUCAAUUGACGUCUGUAUAUUAGAGACGAUGCUGUUUCAACAGCGGUCGUGCAGUCUCUCUUCUGACAGCAAUCGAGGUAAAUGGAAAUCCAGAGAGCUGAAAAUUCGAAUGGAAAACGACGAGCAGAUUGUACGCGCCGAGGGAGCCGAUACGUCUUAGAAAAUUACUUGGAACUGAAUUUUCCAUUCUGCUGAAACUAAAAUCCAUCGCGUUCCAACAGCUUCACUUUCCUCGUUCAUUGCGCCGAAGACGACGAGCAUAGUCGUAGGUGUUUCAUUACCGUCCGACGGCUGAAUCGUUCCGCCAGUUCACCUAGAUUAAAUUGAUCGGAAUUGCGAGUCUGUGUGAAAUACAGAAGCCAUAUCAACCCUGAAUCUUAUCGAAUUACGUUAAAUCCUUCCUGGAUUAUCGAAACUUUAACGAAGCUACUUGGUUAAGUAGUAAAGACGUUUGAUAAUGGAGAUUGUCGCAUCGUUACUGAACUAUUAGCUAGGAAACUAUUAUCUUGUGUACACGGCCGCCAUCCGGAUGGAUGCAAACGGAUGGACGGAAGCGUCGCAUUGCGAGAACGUAAUUUGAGGAUUACGCCUGCACGUAUAUUAUCGCUGGAACAAUGGUCACGUGACGUCGCCAGUGUACAAUCACCUGCGUAAUCCUGAAGGAUCUUCUGGAAUUUCGUGGCUCCCGCUUCGUGUCUUAGGCUCUUAAACACCUCUAAUAACUGACCUACUACCAUCUUAAGCUUCCUCUAUGGCAUCUCGUGAUCCAGACCAACUACACUCCUCACGAGCCAAACAAAUUGCCUUCAGCUUCGAACACUCACCUGUUUGGCUGAAACGUCGAAAACUUUAUCGAUUUUACAAACGACACACUCGAAGAGCCGUGGAACAAUAUAAUUGGACAAUAACUGAAACGGAAAUGUAAUUCUGGUCGAGCGUAAAAAGUACGAUCUUUCAUCGAGGAGAAAAGUUUACCAGGGAAAAUACUUAAUCGUUGAGUUCGAUUGAGUUUACUCAUCGGAAGAAGGAAAUAAAACGUACACGCUGAUACCGCUGGAACGUUCCAAUUACCGUGUGACAACUUCCUCCCGAAACAACAAAAAAGAUAUCUGCGAGUGAAACUUUGCUGCCAGCAGACGUU